GUAGGUGGCAAGCGUUGUCCGGAAUUAUUGGGCGUAAAGCGCGCGCAGGCGGUUCUUUAAGUCUGAUGUGAAAGCCCACGGCUCAACCGUGGAGGGUCAUUGGAAACUGGAGAACUUGAGUACAGAAGAGGAAAGCGGAAUUCCACGUGUAGCGGUGAAAUGCGUAGAGAUGUGGAGGAACACCAGUGGCGAAGGCGGCUUUCUGGUCUGUAACUGACGCUGAGGCGCGAAAGCGUGGGGAGCAAACAGGAUUAGAUACCCUGGUAGACCACGCCGUAAACGAUGAGUGCUAAGUGUUAGGGGGGUUUUCCGCCCCCCUUAGUGCUGCAGCUAACGCAUUAAGCACUCCGCCCUGGGAGUACGGCCGCAAGGCUG
rnacentral:rRNA from 1 species